UACGUAGGGUGCGAGCGUUGUCCGGAAUUAUUGGGCGUAAAGAGCUUGUAGGCGGUUUGUCGCGUCUGCUGUGAAAAUCCGGGGCUCAACCCCGGACUUGCAGUGGGUACGGGCAGACUGGAGUGUGGUAGGGGAGACUGGAAUUCCUGGUGUAGCGGUGAAAUGCGCAGAUAUCAGGAGGAACACCGAUGGCGAAGGCAGUGUUCUGGGCCAGUACUGACGCUGAGGAGCGAAAGCGUGGGGAGCAAACAGG
rnacentral:rRNA from 1 species